rnacentral:lncRNA from 1 species
UUUCGGUAAACAAAUACCCUUCUCACACCAGAACACCCUCUUCUCCUCGCAUCUUUCCACUCUCCAGCCAUCUUCGUCUUCAUCGUAUCUCUCCGUACUAACACCCUCUCUCUCAAGUCUAGCGCACUGACGGAGGUCCGAUGGAACCCUUACAAAGUGGUCGUCGUUCAUAAUCAUCACUGGUCAACUGUCAACACGAUCUUUUCUUUGAAGUAAGUUUUUCUUAGUGUAGAUUGUACUAUGGUCUGUUGUGAAGCUUUUAAGUAAGAGAAAGAAGGAUACAACAAUAGGAGUUGAACAAGUUUUAUAUUGAUAUAUAUGCAAAUCAACAUUGACACCACUGGAACUUUCUUGCAUGUGUAGAGUGCUCAGUGAUUGAUCAGGGCCAAAGAUGAUAAAUUAAAAAGAGUCACUUUGCAGGUGAUGAUUGAGGAGAUAUGGCUAUGCUUCAGAUAAUAAAUAGAAGAUAAUGUUAGUGCGCUACUUUGCCCCUGUUGGUGCACACCCUAGUGGUGAGAUUGUUGAACGCUCACGUGGGGUCCCCAACACUCAUAUGUUUGUCCAGUAAGUUGCCAUUGGGAUCCUACCUGCACUUAAGAGUUUUUGGAACUGACUACUUAACUAAAGAUAGAACAAGGAAAUUCAAAGGUUUUGAGUAUGCAAUGGUUGCGAAUUUGAUCUUGCUAUUUCAAUUUACACCGUGGACUUUAGAAUUUUGAUAAAGUGUGGCUGAUUAUUUUUUCGACCCAGUCUUGUGAUUUUCGUAAGGUUAUGCAGAGUACGAUAAGUGAGCUUGAAUCGGAAGGUGUGCUUCCGAGUAGCAAUUUGAGGGUUUCAUCGUUGGCUAUGUGUUGUGGACCAAGAUGUGCUAAGGUGCUAAAUGAAGGAGAAUAUUGUGGAACCCAUGAGGGACAUUAGGAGAGCUCUUUUAGAAGCGGAUGGAUGUCAGCCUUCCUGUUGUUAGAAGGGUUGUUCAAGCUGUAAGUGAACAUGUUGUUGGUGUGAUUAGGGGAGUCAAACCAGAUCAGCAAUUGGUCAAAAUGGAAUAAAUUGGCUUCUUCGAAAGUUAAUUUAUUUGUCUAGAGCAAUGCAUAAGGCAAGAUACCCACCAUGGUGGCAUUAGCAGAAAGAGGUAUGUUUUUCCAAUCCUUAUCGUGUCCGAUGUUUGGAGGAACAAACGAAACAACAGACCAUGUUCUUGUCAAAUGCCCCGUGGCUGAUAUGGUGUGGAGCCAAGUGUUAUUGUGGUUGAAGAUUCCUAGAGUUUCUCAAUUGGACUCGGUCGUUGAUGUGUUGGAAUUGGUAAAUGGCCUCGACCCAACGGAAGAAGGUGGUCCAUUCACUGCUCUGAUACGAUCUCAGAUAUCAUGUUCCUUCUCAUACGUAGGGUACGCGGACCACAAAGGUCUUUAAAGGUGUUGUCCCAUCUGUGCUUAAACUGGUGCAGGAUGUGUAAAACUUAACUUCGUUUGAUUGGGUAAAAGACAUGUCAAGCUUGAGUGAUUUGGCGGCCUGGAGCGGGUGGCGUAAUGGUGUUACACUCAUGUUGAAUCAUGUUAGUGGUGUAUUGGUUAAUGCUUAUAUGUGUGCUGUAUGUAUAAUGGCUCCUAAAGCAUCUUGCGUGGGGGUUGUUUGGUGUUUUGCUGAUGAAUAAAAGUUGAUCCAUCUAAUCAUUCAAUAUAUAUGGUGGUGCUUAUGUUUGCCUA